CUUUAAGCUAGUCUCAUCCUAAACAACAAUAGCUAUAAAAUCACAGCUUUGAGGUUGCUGUUUAUGUACUUUUUCUAAUAUAUAAUAGUAUUUAAAAUAUAAAGAUAAAAAUAAUUUGUCCCUAGCCAACCUAAAAUGUUUCCACAAUGUAGAAAACAUUGGUAUAAUUGACUUAAAACUGAAAAUGAAUGGUGAAAACUUUUUAAGAACAGAAAAUACUCUGAGAAUUUUGUUUUUUAUAAAGGCUCUUACCCUGGUCAACUCUGGGAAGAAAAAGGGGUUACAAAAUUAUUGUCUAGUAGGGAGAACUCUGGUCUAGACUCCUGCUCUGCCCUUCUACACUCUCUGCUUCAGUUUCUCAUGUUUAGGGGGAUAAAAAAAAAUCCUCAGCUUAUCCACCUGACAUCGUAUUUCUCUGAGUCAGCGUAUACAAUCGAAGAGGAUCCAAGAGCAAGUGGCCAGGAUGAUGAGAAAAGAUCGGGAGAAACUGGUGAUGUUUUAUCACAGAGAUGAGACCACUUAGGAGAUGACCGCAGCGGGUUCUUCAGUAUCAGAGCAGCUGUGAUCCAGGAAAGGAGGCUUACAGUACUUAUGAACCUGGUUCAAACCAUCUUGGCAUUCCCUCUAAAACAUUAAAGCACAGUGAUCAUUCAGCCGCCUGCUGCUCCUUCCUGAGCUGAAACUGUCUGCACCACCCUGCGUUUGCAAGGGUUCUACUCUCUCCAGGGCUCAUCCCUUUUAUCCUCAAGAAGUGGUACUGUAACCAAGCAGGACCCAAUGAGGCCUUCUCGGGACAGGCCCUUCCCCCGUAUCCUCUGCUGUAUCUCCCCUCUUGAGUUCCCAUGAAAUAGUAAUUCAUGAAAACCACCACCAGUGGACAAAAUUAACUACUUGAUGAUCAUGAGAACGUAUCCCCCAGACCUCCUGGCACCUAAGGAUUGGUCAUUAUCAACCAGAGAACUGUGCACAGCUGAUCACACGCCCUGGGCCGCCCCUCCCUCAGCUGGCCUUUAAAGAUGCUCAGCUGAACCCUUGGGGGAGUUUGAGGGCUUUUUGUGCACGUGCCACCUGUUCUUGCUCCACCAGGCAAUAAACCUUUCUCUUCUCCAAACUCUUGACUUUGGCCGCGGCAAAUGUGUUUGGUAACAAUUCUGGGAAGCCGGCCUAGGAGUUUGUGCCUGUGAGGAGCGGCCCCUUCCCGGGGCCCCAGCAGCUGCCCGAACUCACUUCACUCCAGGAACCGGAACCGGAAGGAACUCUGCCAGGCGCCGGCCGCUCUGGUGCGAGGCGGUUUGGAGCGGAGAAGCUUCUGGAGCUGUGGUCCACAUUCAGUGUCGCCUGGGGGUGAGUCACUCCAGCUCGAGCCAGCUGGGAAUUCUCUCCUCUCCCUCUGGGCUCCUUCCCUGUGAGAAGUGAGCCGCUCUGGGCUCGAAACGCCACUCUGGGUCUUUUGAGAGGUGGGCCUAUCUGUGUGGAGGCCUCCAUCUGGGAGUGGAAGUAGAAUUUUCAGACGACACCUCUUCUGACUGUUGGUGCAACCGUAGUUUAUUUGUUGUUUACACUUUUGUGUGUAUGGUUUUGGAAUGAGCCACCUGGGCUUACGCAGGGUGGGAAAAUUCUGCCUGCUCCACCUGGGCUCACUGCGUUCUGGGCUCAUUGGGAGCCGCUCUGGGUCCAUUCUCUUUGAGCAGCCAGGCCACUGGAGGCCUCCGUCUAGGAACGGAACUGGAAUUUUUUGGGUUUGAUCUUUCGUUUGUGGGACCAUGUUUGCUGUUUGUAUUUCUGUGUGUGUGUAUCAGUGCUUGGAUUGGCCGGCUGAGGCGUCUUUGCUGAGUAACAGGGCUCACAUGCGGUGACACCAGGGUAUCCUUCCCUAUUGUGCUGGCUUUACCUGCGGCAGUGGAGCACUGGUUGGAAUUUUCCCUUUCUCACCUUGGUCAUUCAUUCAGCUUCACCUCUGAUGGGGUAUUGAUUGGGAACCUCCCUCUUGGGGACUACGGAACUGUGACACUGAGAGAUCAUUUUGAAUUGUUGUUUGCUUGAUAUUUGAUAACAUUGGUUGUAAAUGAUUAUGAAUGAUCUGAGCUCUGCUCCAUCUUAUAGUCCCCUUAGGGUAUAUUUUGCAAAACUGGGAGAUCUUCAGCUACGCUCCCAUAAAUGGAAGAAAAUGAUAUAUUUUUAUUGUAACACUGUAGGCUCAGUGGGAUCAGAGCUCAAAUCUCCUGAGAUCUGGAGAACAAUGGCCUUUAAUGGCUCUAUUAUAUCAAAGCGGGCCUUUUGCAAUUACUUGAGCUUUUAUCAUGCUCUUGUGCGCGGAUGCGCCAGUACCUGAAUCCAGAUCCUAUUCUCUCUUACAGGUUUUGCUGAAAGUGAUGCAUGUAAAUGGGAGUGAAUGAUAUAUAUGCAUUAUUGUCUAUUACUGUUAUUUCUUUAUAAACUGAAAUGGAUAUUAGGAAACUGAAAAAAAAAAAAAAAAAAAA